GAAAGCAUUCAGAGCUUUAAUUACACAUUAACGUGUAAGAAAUGUUCGACAGCGUCUAAAAGAAGUUGGGGCUUUUGCAUCCAGUGGAUGUCAACAAAAGUGUAAAUCUCAGGCCUCCACUGCCGAGAUCACCAGCGGGAAGAAAAAAUGAGUUUCUGGUGGAGUAAACCUGCAGCUACGUACCACGGUUUGGUCAACCAUGGGGCAACAUGCUAUCUGAACAGUGUGCUGCAGGUUCUGUUCAUGACCGAAGAAUUCAGAGAAGCUGUGACCAGGUUUGUUUUUAGAAUUUGUGCGUUUACUGUAUGUGAAGGGAAUAUUUUGAA